UACAGAGGAUGCAAGCGUUAUCCGGAAUGAUUGGGCGUAAAGCGUCUGUAGGUGGCUUUUUAAGUCCGCCGUCAAAUCCCAGGGCUCAACUCUGGACAGGCGGUGGAAACUACCAAGCUGGAGUACGGUAGGGGCAGAGGGAAUUUCCGGUGGAGCGGUGAAAUGCGUAGAGAUCGGAAAGAACACCAACGGCGAAAGCGGCACUCUGGGCCGGUACUGACGCUGAGGAGCGAAAGCGUGGGGAGCGAACAGG
rnacentral:rRNA from 1 species